GCAGUCGGACGGUCUGUCGCUGACGGCUCGCAAGAGCCGACAAGAGGAAAGUCCGGGCAGCACAGGGCAUCCCACUUCCUAAUGUAGAAGCAAUCCGCGAGGGUUGAGUAAUGCAGAAGAAAAUAACAACAGACACGAUUUGGGAAGGAUGUAAAUACACAUUAUUUAACAUCUUUACGGAAUCGCAACUGAAAUGGUGAGAAGGUGGAGUAAAAGCCCACCAGCGGCAUGGUGACAUGUCGGCUGUGCAUCUUGGGAGCUGCAAGUUCAUGUAAACCACCGCCACAAGGGUAGCCCGCCCGAUAGUUCGGUGGAGGGUAGAACGCUUGAGCCAUGAGGUGACUCAUGGAGUAGAUAAAUGACAGACACCACCAUUAGAAUGGGUGCAAAUUUAUCAUGUGGAUUACACAUUACAUUGACAUUCUUUUUAAUGGUGCGUACAAAACCCGGCUUAUAGUCCGACUGCUUUC
rnacentral:RNase_P_RNA from 1 species